GCUGUCGUCAGCUCGUGUUGUGAAAUGUUGGGUUAAGUCCCGCAACGAGCGCAACCCUUAUCCUUGUUUGCCAGCGAGUAAUGUCGGGAACUCCAGGGAGACUGCCGGUGAUAAACCGGAGGAAGGUGGGGACGACGUCAAGUCAUCAUGGCCCUUACGAGUAGGGCUACACACGUGCUACAAUGGCGCAUACAGAGGGCGGCCAACUUGCGAAAGUGAGCGAAUCCCAAAAAGUGCGUCGUAGUCCGGAUUGGAGUCUGCAACUCGACUCCAUGAAGUCGGAAUCGCUAGUAAUCGUGGAUCAGAAUGCCACGGUGAAUACGUUCCCGGGCCUUGUACACACCGCCCGUCACACCAUGGGAGUGGGCUGCAAAAGAAGUGGGUAGUUUAACCUUCGGGAGGACGCUCACCACUUUGUGGUUCAUGACUGGGGUGAAGUCGUAACAAGGUAGCGCUAGGGGAACCUGGCGC
rnacentral:rRNA from 1 species